CGAGUGAAGCGGCAACAGCUCAAUUUGAAAUCUGGCUCUCGGGCCCGAGUUGUAAUUUGUAGAGGAUACUUUUGAUGCGGUGCCUUCCGAGUUCCCUGGAACGGGACGCCAUAGAGGGUGAGAGCCCCGUCUGGUUGGAUGCCAAAUCUCUGUAAAGUUCCUUCGACGAGUCGAGUAGUUUGGGAAUGCUGCUCUAAAUGGGAGGUAUAUGUCUUCUAAAGCUAAAUACCGGCCAGAGACCGAUAGCGCACAAGUAGAGUGAUCGAAAGAUGAAAAGCACUUUGAAAAGAGAGUUAAAAAGUACGUGAAAUUGUUGAAAGGGAAGCGUUUAUGACCAGACUUGGGCUUGGUUGAUCAUCUGGGGUUCUCCCCAGUGCACUCUUCCAGUCCAGGCCAGCAUCAGUUUUCGCCGGGGGAUAAAGACUUCGGGAAUGUGGCUCUCUUCGGGGAGUGUUAUAGCCCGUUGUGUAAUACCCUGGCGGGGACUGAGGUUCGCGCAUCUGCAAGGAUGCUGGCGUAAUGGUCAUCAACGACCCGUCUUGAAACACGGACCAAGGAGUCGUCUUCGUAUGCGAGUGUUCGGGUGUCAAACCCCUACGCGUAAUGAAAGUGAACGCAGGUGAGAGCUUCGGCGCAUCAUCGACCGAUCCUGAUGUUCUCGGAUGGAUUUGAGUAAGAGCAUACGGGGCCGGACCCGAAAGAAGGUGAACUAUGCCUGUAUAGGGUGAAGCCAGAGGAAACUCUGGUGGAGGCUCGCAGCGGUUCUGACGUGCAAAUCGAUCGUCAAAUAUGGGCAUGGGGGCGAAAGACUAAUCGAACCUUCUAGUAGCUGGUUUCC
rnacentral:rRNA from 1 species